rnacentral:rRNA from 1 species
ACAUGCAAGUCGAACGGACGAUCAGGGCUUGCUCUGAUCGUUAGUGGCGGACGGCUGAGUAACGCGUGGGUGACCUGCCCCGAAGUGGGGAAUAACUGCCCGAAAGGGUGGCUAAUACCGCAUGUGGUGGUGCCUUCAUCGGCACCAGUAAAGCCGCAAGGCGCUUCGGGAGGGGCCUGCGUCCGAUUAGCUCGUUGGUGGGGUAAUGGCUCACCAAGGCGACGAUCGGUAGGUGGUCUGAGAGGACGAUCACCCAGACUGGGACUGAGACACGGCCCAGACUCCUACGGGAGGCAGCAGUCGGGAAUUUUGCGCAAUGGACGAAAGUCUGACGCAGCAACGCCGCGUGAGGGAUGACGGCCUUCGGGUUGUAAACCUCUUUUAUCAGGGAAGAUCAUGACGGUACCUGAUGAAUAAGCCACGGCUAACUACGUGCCAGCAGCCGCGGUAAUACGUAGGUGGCAAGCGUUGUCCGGAUUUACUGGGCGUAAAGAGCGCGCAGGCGGUCGUUCAAGUUGCGUGUGAAAGCCCCGGCUCAACUGGGGAGGGUCACGCGAUACUGAUCGACUCGA